UUUUAGGCAGUAAAUAUGCAGGCAGGCAGGCGUUUUACCGCACAGCUAUGAGAGGCAUUUUAGUAGACAUAGGGGCUCUUAAGGGCUAAAAGCUGCCGCAGUCGUGACAUAGUAAACUGCUUCGCUCCAAGCAGGUAUCACCAGGGUUCGUUCCAUAAAUAAGUGUUGGCGCAUAGAACCAGUUUAUAAGGCAUAACAUCAAUAUAUAUAUUUUGAACCAGCCGGCAACGAAAAAUUUACUCCAUAUUAAACUCAUGCCAUAACGAUUACUAAAUUUAGUCCUACAGACGCUGUUAAAGUUGUGAAAAAGUCCUCCACCAACUAUGAAGGUGCUAAGUGCUUGCAACUCGCUUUCAUUCAAAGAGAAAAAAUUAACCAAACAAUAAAUGUAUUGAAUUGUUUGCACACCUUCAGCUUUGGUAUGGUACAUACA